UCCCUGGUGGUCCAGUGGUUAGGACUCCACACUUCUGCUGCGGGAGCCUGGGUUCAAUUGCUGGUUGGGGAA
rfam:TPA: Bos taurus chromosome 22, whole genome shotgun sequence.